GGCCCUUUAGUUUACGCGAAUAGAACACUCGUCUACGAAACGAGAGAAGGCAGUUUAAGUCUGCCAAGGGCUACCA
rnacentral:tRNA from 1 species